rnacentral:miRNA from 1 species
UAGUAUUUCCUUGUGCGUAUGUGUGUGAUUAUCUGUACAUGUACAUACACACAUGUACACGCACAUACACACAC